rnacentral:rRNA from 1 species
CGCCUCCUGCAAAAAUCAACGUAUAGGAGGUCUUGCCUGCCCAGUGACAUGUUAAACGGCCGCGGUAUUUUGACCGUGCGAAGGUAGCGCAAUCACUUGUCUCUUAAAUGGAGACCUGUAUGAAUGGUGGAACGAGGGCUUAACUGUCUCCCCUUUCAAGUCAAUGAAAUUGAUCUGCCCGUGCAGAAGCGGACAUAAAAAUACAAGACGAGAAGACCCUUUGGAGCUUAAGAUAUAAGAUCACCUAUGUCAAGAACUCAGUUAAACUAAAUAGCACCUGAUCCCAAUCUUCAGUUGGGGCGACCACGGGAGAAAACAAAGCUCCCACGCGGACUGGGAUAACCCCCCUAAAACCAAGAAAAACAACUCUAAGUCGCAGAAUCUCUGACCAAAAGAUCCGGCCACCUGCCGACCAACGAACCAAGUUACCCUAGGGAUAACAGCGCAAUCCCCUUUCAGAGUCCAUAUCGACAAGGGGGUUUACGACCUCGAUGUUGGAUCAGG